GCAAAACGGCCCGGCCAGGGGAGUGGCUGGAGAAAAGAAAAAGCAAAGCACUUGUUCCAGCUUGAGCGGCUCAACAAGGUGUGCACUGCGAAAAAUGGGCUCUCUCAGGCUUAAAUAGUUUUUGGGAUAAUUCUUAGGCAAUCUACCAACCAACACUAAUUUUUUCUCCGUGUUCUUGGGGAUGUAUUUCAAGUGCGGAAGCGAGAACAGGGAACGGGGAACAGGGAAAGGGAGAGGCGAUUGCACCGGGCUGUGUCAGAUUCAGGUUUUGGUUUUUGGCGCAAAAAAUAUGUGUGCUCAAAAUUACUGGCAGCAGAGCAGAGCAGCAGGUAUUCACAUUCGUAUGUCCCUCAUCCCGGAUGAUGAGGGCAGCCGCAGGAAAAGGAGAAAAGGAAGCAGAAGCAGCAGCAGCCGCAGGAAUUGGCGCAAAAAUUUACAGAUGCCUCAAAAAAAAAAAAUAAAUAAACAUAAAUAAAUAAUAAUAAAAGAGAUAAAUGGGCACGGGCCUGUGAAACUUCUGAUGCAUAAAAGAAAAAACUUCCAAGCCACCUGCAAUCCAAAGUUCAAUUGAACUUUCUGGGCGAAUCUAUUAGAUAAUUGGCAGGCAUCUUUCAGAUACUCGGCUGAGGCACGUUCACUGCCACGUGCUGUAAUGCGCUUGUUGUAACUUAACAACAAACCAAAUUCCUAAAAGUAAACCUCAUUUAGUUAAGCUUGGAAUAACCGAAAAUACAAAACAAAAAAAACAAAAAGCUUGGUUAAGCUUAAAGUUUCUUAUCUAUUGAUAAUCAAUUAUCUACCCAGAAUUGAGCAUUUAAGUAUCGGUCUAAGCAUAGAAUAAGCAGCGGCCAACUUCUUUUCUCUUGUGGCUGCUAAGAUAAGCGCAUCGCUCGCGGUUAAACUCCAGUAUAUAUUUAACCCCCGGAAAAAAAAAAAGACACGUGGUGGGGAAUUUCCACAUAAGUUUCCCAAAACUAAACGCAGAGGGAAGUGAGCAGCGCUCAGUGUAUUAAAAGUGAAUUACAUUUUUGCGGUGCCAAUUCAAGGUCGAAUUGGCACCCAGUAAGAACCCAUUUGUGUAUUGUUCUUACAUUGGGAAUAAGUAUACAAUCCCCCAAGCAGCCAGUUUACCCUAAGAAGGGCUUCCAGCGCCACGCCGCGGGAUCUGAUGGAUUUAUUAUAAAUUAGUGUGAGAGACACAAUUUUCUUUUGGGAUUAAGGUGCAUGUGCAAUAAUUUUCCCUCAUUAAUUAAAACCCGCCAAUGGCCAGCAUAUGCACCCGAAUUAUUCUCAUCCAAUGACGUCACUCAUCGCCCGAGACAGUUACGCUUGUCCCGUAUUGGUUUCCGGAAUUAUUAAUUUGAUUUAGUUAUUUUUAUUUUGGUAGUAUUUAGUUUUUUUUUGGAGCUUGGCGUUUAAUAAUGUAAGAAAAUAACGUUUCCAGUUCCCUUAAUUUUGUAUUUCUUUUUUUUAUUACUUAAAUACUAAAACUGAACGGUAUGGAAAUAUUAAUUAAUUUGGUGAAUAUAUAUAUAUAUACAUACAUAAAAAUAACCUCUAUGCCCUAAAAUUAUAGAUUCAUCGCUCAACCCGACAAAAGAUCUUUUGGACGUGGAAAUUAAACUCGAUGUAAGUGAAAAAAAAAA